UCACUGUCACCCCAUGACCUCACAACCAGGGUCCAGCCUGUGUCGCCGUUCCUGCUGGUGGCUCUUGAGUCCUCAAAGCCCUUCUCUGGGAUCACAAUACUCUAAGAAUUUGCCAGCAGCACAGAAGACACCAGGAUGCUGAGGCCUUUGAGAGAGGAGCCAAUGCUGACGAUAUUCAUGGAGCGCCGCUCUGAGCCAUAAAACUGUUGACAAAUAUACAGACUUCAUCCAGAGCACCGAAACCCCAAAUAUUUUCAUUUGGCAAUUCAAGAGCUGCCAGUGACAAAGGGACCUGGUGAACAUUAAGUCUUUAAAUUAUUUAUCUUGAACACCACAUCUCACAAGGAAAAAAAAGAAGGAGAGAGAAAAAAGAAACAUAAGCAAUAUUAGAAAGCAUCUGACUGGAAAAACUGAUUAUUUUGUUAUUCAGCGCCUGCAUUGCUUGACAUUUUUCACGUUGGUUAUCUGCAGUGCUGCAUGCUGUCGGGAGAAGCUAUUUUUCCUGUGCUGAAAAGUCGUUUAUAUAGAGCAAGAUACUGAUCGUAUGGAAAUGAGGAGCAGCGGCAUUCAUCAGGCUGGGGCAGGUACACAGAGACACUUUGAUCCCAUGCAGAGUGCCCGGUUCCAGCCUGGGCAGGACCCAGUGGGCAGCACAGGGGCCUUGCUGGUUGCUGGCUGGAAUGCAAAUGAGGGGGACUUUGGAGCUGGUGUUUCCAAGGGAAUUUGUGUAUAAGUCGUCCUUGAAAGUCCUCUCCGGCACUCAGAAUAGAUUCUGUGACAUGUUUGUAAAGCCUGACAGUGAGUAGGGCUGUUAGACCUUGUAUUGAAAGCUGAGAGAAGGCAGAAGGGCCGCUCAGCAGCUGAAGUGUUGUACUGCUUGGGAGAGCGCCUCUCACUCCUUCAAAAUGAGAUGUAGCUGUUUAGGGUUGCUAUAAGAUAUCCCCGACUUCGUCUUAAAUGAGGCCAUAGCAUCCUAUAGGGUGCUCAUUUUUAAUGCUUCAAAAUCAGCCUGAACUUAACUCUGAAAACCAUUUGUUAUUAUUAUCCAUUUUACAUUUGUCCUGGGUACCCGGACAGCUGAAGUUAUGCAAUCCAACCUGUUUAUUCUCAGCCUAGCUGGAUGCGGGUAUUUGAGCAACACCAGGCCGGGAUGCCUCACCUAUAUUUAACAGGAGAAUUUGUUGUCUUCUCUGAUUACUCCCGAUUUUAACAGACUUUCAUCUUUUCUUAGGUAUUUUCUGAACACAACAGCACUGUCCAGGCAAUGCAUUCUGGCAGGCAAUGCCCUAUGUGAUGCUGCAAACAUCUAAUAAACUCCUCGCAUCUGAUGCAUACUCGUUUUAGAGACCCUGA